rnacentral:rRNA from 1 species
AGCGAACGCUGGCGGCAGGCCUAACACAUGCAAGUCGAACGAACUCUUCGGAGUUAGUGGCGGACGGGUGAGUAACACGUGGGAACGUGCCUUUAGGUUCGGAAUAACUCAGGGAAACUUGUGCUAAUACCGAAUGUGCCCUUCGGGGGAAAGAUUUAUCGCCUUUAGAGCGGCCCGCGUCUGAUUAGCUAGUUGGUGAGGUAAAGGCUCACCAAGGCGACGAUCAGUAGCUGGUCUGAGAGGAUGAGCAGCCACAUUGGGACUGAGACACGGCCCAAACUCCUACGGGAGGCAGCAGUGGGGAAUCUUGCGCAAUGGGCGAAAGCCUGACGCAGCCAUGCCGCGUGAAUGAUGAAGGUCUUAGGAUUGUAAAAUUCUUUCACCGGGGACGAUAAUGACGGUACCCGGAGAAGAAGCCCCGGCUAACUUCGUGCCAGCCGCCGCGGUAAAAC